GACGAACGCUGGCGGCGUGCCUAAUACAUGGGAAGUCGUACGCACUGACAACGGAACUUGUUCCGUUUGACGUGAGUGGCGCACGGGUGAGUAACACGUGGGAAACCUACCCUUCAGCGGGGGAUAACCGUCGGAAACGAUGGCUAAUACCGCAUAGGUCUUUGAGUCACCUGACUUAAAGAGGAAAGACGGCUUCGGCUGUCACUGAAGGAUGGUCCUGCGGUGCAUUAGCUAGUUGGUAAGGUAAUGGCUUACCAAGGCGAUGAUGCAUAGCCGACCUGAGAGGGUGAUCGGCCACAUUGGGACUGAGACACGGCCCAAACUCCUACGGGAGGCAGCAGUAGGGAAUCUUCCGCAAUGGACGCAAGUCUGACGGAGCAACGCCGCGUGUGUGAAGAAGGUCUUCGGAUCGUAAAGCACUGUUAUUAGAGAAGAACAACCGGUAGAGUAACUGUUACCGGCUUGACGGUAUCUAACCAGAAAGUCACGGCUAACUAC
rnacentral:rRNA from 1 species